rnacentral:rRNA from 1 species
GACGAACGCUGGCGGCGUGCUUAACACAUGCAAGUCGAACGGAAAGGCCCUGCUUUUGUGGGGUGCUCGAGUGGCGAACGGGUGAGUAACACGUGAGUAACCUGCCCUUGACUUUGGGAUAACUUCAGGAAACUGGGGCUAAUACCGGAUAGGAGCUCCUGCUGCAUGGUGGGGGUUGGAAAGUUUCGGCGGUUGGGGAUGGACUCGCGGCUUAUCAGCUUAUUGGUGGGGUAGUGGCUUACCAAGGCUUUGACGGGUAGCCGGCCUGAGAGGGUGACCGGCCACAUUGGGACUGAGAUACGACCCAGACUCCUACGGGAGGCAGCAGUGGGGAAUAUUGCACAAUGGGCGGAAGCCUGAUGCAGCAACGCCGCGUGCGGGAUGACGGCCUUCGGGUUGUAAACCGCUUUCGCCUGUGACGAAGCGUGAGUGACGGUAAUGGGUAAAGAAGCACCGGCUAACUACGUG